GAAAUGCGAUAAUUAAUGUGAAUUGCAGAAUUCAGUGAAUCAUCGAGUCUCUGAACGCACAUUGCGCCCCCUGGUAUUCCGGGGGGCAUGCCUGUCCGAGCGUCAUUGCUGCCCUCAAGCACGGCUUGUGUGUUGGGCUUCCGUCCCUGGCAACGGGGACGGGCCCAAAAGGCAGUGGCGGCACCAUGUCUGGUCCUCGAGCGUAUGGGGCUUUGUCACCCGCUCCCGUAGGUCCAGCUGGCAGCUAGCCUCGCAACCAAUCUUUUUAACCAGGUUGACCUCGGAUCAGGUAGGGAUACCCGCUGAACUUAAGC
rnacentral:misc_RNA from 1 species